rnacentral:tRNA from 1 species
UCCCAGAUAGCUCAGCGGUAGAGCAAUUGACUGUUAAUCAAUGGGUCGCAGGUUCGAAUCCUGCUCUGGGAG